UGGAAAUGGAGGUCAGGAGAUUCCUGCCUCACUGACAGCCAUGCCUCACACAUGGAAAGGGGGCAAUGGGAAGUACGGUUCCAGAACACAGCCUUGGAACAGACACAAACAGCAACUGGUGGAAACUCCGCACCGCUUCCCGAAGCAGAGUAAGGACUAAUAUGUACGGAAAGCCAAGUGGAAGCCACUAGAACUGUUUCUAUCUAAACAAAAACAAAAACAAAACAAACAACAAAAAAAGAAGCAGCAAAAUAAAAAGCAACACAACAUUCCCAAAGAGGUCACAGAGAUCACGCCACCAUCGAUUGACAAGCACAGAGGUUAUCUUGCAACCUAAUCUGCCCAUCUUGACCAGGGGUUGUCUGACUCCUCAAUGCAUUAAGCUGGCUGUGUACACCCGUAUUCCGUCACAAAAUGGAAGUGGCAAGGCUGAGAUCAAGGCUCAAGCAGGCCCUGAAGGGACUGAAAAGCAACAGGAGGAAGUAAUCUGCAUGUCCGUGGUAACCAUUCCCGCCACGUUGCAUUCUCUCUCCCACAGCAGCGGCCUCACAGGGCACUCACUAUGGUCACUUGACAGAGGAAGAGAAGGCUCAGGCCUGAGGUACAGGAGGUCAACCCAACAUUCAGCACCCCCUGAAAACAGCCAGCUCUAACACUACAGUCCCUUUCUGGGUCAUCCCUGAUGGACAAUGAGAAGGAAAAUCCUUCAUGUGGGCAGAAAUUCAAGCAGUGUACCUUGCUGUUCAGUUUGCUUAAAAAAAAUGGCCAGACAUAUAAAUAUAUACCAGCUCAUGGGCUGGUGUUCAAUGGGUCAGCUGGAUGGUCGGGUCUUAAAAGGAACGUAACUGGAAAAUUGGUGAUGAAGUUGGGGAAAGAAGUACACGGGCAAAACGCAUGAAGACAUUUGUGUUUCAUAUGAACACUCACCAAAGGCUGAGCUCAUCAGGACAUGCUAUCACUAAUCAAGUCGACAAGAUGACUUGUUCUGUGGCUAUCGGUCAUACUCUCCCCCCAGACACCCCAUCAUCACCCAAUGGGGUCAUGAACAUGUGCCAAGAUGGAAGUUAUUCAUUGGCUCAGUGAAAUCAACUGCUCACCAAGGCAUAUCUGGCUCAGUGAAAUCAACUGCUCACCAAGGCAUAUCUGGCCAGAGUCACUUCUGAGUGCUCAAUCCGCCAGCAACACAGAACACUGAAUCCUGCUAGGUCGUCAUCCCCUGGGUGAUCACCUGGCUACCUGAUGCUGGUUGAGUGCACUGGCCUACCUCCAUCAUGGAAAUGGAAGUGUUUUGUGCUUACUAGAAUACACUCUAGGUGCAGAUGUGCCUCUUCUACUUGCCUUACUUCUGC